GACGAACGCUGGCGGCGUGCUUAACACAUGCAAGUCGAACGAGAAUCUGCGGAAAGAGGAUUCGUCCAAUUGAAGCAGAGGACAGUGGCGGACGGGUGAGUAACGCGUGAGGAACCUGCCUUUCAGAGGGGGACAACAGUUGGAAACGACUGCUAAUACCGCAUGACACAUUAGGGUCGCAUGGCCCUGAUGUCAAAGAUUUAUCGCUGAAAGAUGGCCUCGCGUCUGAUUAGCUAGUUGGUGAGGUAACGGCCCACCAAGGCGACGAUCAGUAGCCGGACUGAGAGGUUGAACGGCCACAUUGGGACUGAGAUACGGCCCAGACUCCUACGGGAGGCAGCAGUGGGGAAUAUUGGGCAAUGGGCGCAAGCCUGACCCAGCAACGCCGCGUGAAGGAAGAAGGCUUUCGGGUUGUAAACUUCUUUUGUCAGGGACGAGUAGAAGACGGUACCUGACGAAUAAGCCACGGCUAACUACGUGCCAGCAGCCGCGGUAAUACGUGGGUGGCAAGCGUUGUCCGGAUUUACUGGGUGUAAAGGGCGUGUAGCCGGGAGGGCAAGUCAGAUGUGAAAUCCACGGGCUUAACUCGUGAACUGCAUUUGAAACUGUUCUUCUUGAGUAUCGGAGAGGCAAUCGGAAUUCCUAGUGUAGCGGUGAAAUGCGUAGAUAUUAGGAGGAACACCAGUGGCGAAGG
rnacentral:rRNA from 1 species